rnacentral:rRNA from 1 species
UUUCCAGACUCCUACGGGAGGCAGCAGUGGGGAAUAUUGCACAGUGGGGGAAACCCUGAUGCAGCGACGCCGCGUGAGUGAAGAAGUAUUUCGGUAUGUAAAUCUCUAUCAGCAGGGAAGAAGUUGACGGUACCUGAGUAAGAAGCCCCGGCUAACUACGUGCCAGCAGCCGCGGUAAUACGUAGGGGGCAAGCGUUAUCCGGAUUUACUGGGUGUAAAGGGAGCGUAGACGGCAGUGCAAGUCUGAAGUGAAAGCCCCGGGCUUAACCCGGGAAUUGCUUUGGAAACUGUACGGCUGGAGUGCUGGAGAGGUAAGCGGAAUUCCUAGUGUAGCGGUGAAAUGCGUAGAUAUUAGGAGGAACACCAGUGGCGAAGGCGGCUUACUGGACAGUAACUGACGUUGAGGCUCGAAAGCGUGGGGAGCAAACAGGAUUAGAUACCCUGGUAC